GAUGAACGCUAGCGGCAGACUUAACACAUGCAAGUCGAGGGGUAGAAGUUGCUUGCAACUUUGAGACCGGCGCACGGGUGCGUAACGCGUAUGCAACCUACCUUUUACAGAGGGAUAGCCCAGAGAAAUUUGGAUUAAUACCUCAUAGUAUAUAAUCUUCGCAUGUUGGUUAUAUUAAAGUUCUAACGGUAAAAGAUGGGCAUGCGUCCUAUUAGCUAGUUGGUGUGGUAACGGCACACCAAGGCGACGAUAGGUAGGGGUCCUGAGAGGGAGAUCCCCCACACGGGCACUGAGACACGGGCCCGACUCCUACGGGAGGCAGCAGUGAGGAAUAUUGGUCAAUGGACGCAAGUCUGAACCAGCCAUGCCGCGUGAAGGAUGAAGGCCUUCUGGGUUGUAAACUUCUUUUAUUGGGGAAGAAAAUUACGGUUUCUACUGUAACCGACGGUACCCAAGGAAUAAGCACCGGCUAACUCCGUGCCAGCCGCCGCCGUAAGAC
rnacentral:rRNA from 1 species